CGGGAGGCAGCAGUGGGGAAUAUUGCACAAUGGGGGAAACCCUGAUGCAGCAACGCCGCGUGAGGAAGAAGUAUUUCGGUAUGUAAACUCUAUCAGCAGGGAAGAAAAUGACGGUACCUGACUAAGAAGCCCCGGCUAACUACGUGCCAGCAGCCGCGGUAAUACGUAGGGGGCAAGCGUUAUCCGGAUUUACUGGGUGUAAAGGGAGCGUAGACGGCGCUGCAAGUCUGAAGUGAAAGCCCGGGGCUCAACCCGGGACUGCUUUGGAAACUGUAAUGCUAGAGUGCUGGAGAGGUAAGUGGAAUUCCUAGUGUAGCGGUGAAAUGCGUAGAUAUUAGGAGGAACACCAGUGGCGAAGGCGGCUUACUGGACAGUAACUGACGUUGAGGCUCGAAAGCGUGAGGAGCAAACAGGAUUAGAUACCCUGGUAGUCCACGCGGUAAACGAUGAAUGCUAGGUG
rnacentral:rRNA from 1 species